GAUGAAGAACGCAGCGAAAUGCGAUAAGUAAUGUGAAUUGCAGAAUUCAGUGAAUCAUCGAAUCUUUGAACGCACAUUGCGCCCGCUAGUAUUCUGGCGGGCAUGCCUGUUCGAGCGUCAUUUCAACCAUCAAGCUCCUUAGCUUGUGUUGGGGACCUGCGGCUGCCGCAGCCCCCGAAAUGCAGUGGCGGGCUCGUUGUCACACCGAGUGCAGUAAUCAUUCUUCUCUCCGGGCGUGGCGGCGGGUUCCGGCCGUAAAGUCACCAAUUUAUCAAGGUUGACCUCGGAUCAGGUAGGAAUACCCGCUGAACUUAAGCAUAUCAAUAAGCGGAGGA
rnacentral:misc_RNA from 1 species